rnacentral:rRNA from 1 species
GCAGCAGUGGGGAAUUUUGGACAAUGGGCGAAAGCCUGAUCCAGCCAUUCCGCGUGAGUGAUGAAGGCCUUCGGGUUGUAAAGCUCUUUCGGCCGGGAAAAAAUCGCAUGGGUUAAUACCCUGUGUGGAUGAUGGUACCGGACUAAGAAGCACCGGCUAACUACGUGCCAGCAGCCGCGGUAAUACGUAGGGUGCGAGCGUUAAUCGGAAUUACUGGGCGUAAAGCGUGCGCAGGCGGAUGUUUAAGUCAGAUGUGAAAUCCCCGGGCUCAACCUGGGAAUGGCAUUUGAAACUGGGCAUCUAGAGUGCGUCAGAGGGGGGUGGAAUUCCACGUGUAGCAGUGAAAUGCGUAGAGAUGUGGAGGAACACCGAUGGCGAAGGCAGCCCCCUGGGAUGACACUGACGCUCAUGCACGAAAGCGUGGGGAGCAAACAGGAUUAGAUACCCUGGUAGUCCACGCCCUAAACGAUGUCAACUAGUUGUUGGGGACGAAAGUUCUUAGUAACGAAGCUAACGCG